CCCAGACUCCUACGGGAGGCAGCAGUGGGGGAUAUUGCACAAUGGGGGGAACCCUGAUGCAGCGACGCCGCGUGGGUGAAGGAGCGUUUCGGCGCGUAAAGCCCUCUCGGCAGGGAAGAAGGAGGACGGUACCUGACUAAGAAGCCCCGGCUAACUACGUGCCAGCAGCCGCGGUAAUACGUAGGGGGCAAGCGUUAUCCGGAUUUACUGGGUGUAAAGGGGGCGCAGACGGCAGCGCAAGCCAGGAGUGAAAGCCCGGGGCCCAACCCCGGGACUGCUCUUGGAACUGCGUGGCUGGAGUGCAGGAGGGGCGGGCGGAAUUCCUGGUGUAGCGGUGAAAUGCGUAGAUAUCAGGAGGAACACCGGUGGCGAAGGCGGCCUGCUGGACUGCAACUGACGUUGAGGCCCGAAAGCGUGGGGAGCAAACAGGAUUAGAUACCCUAGUAG
rnacentral:rRNA from 1 species